GACGAACGCUGGCGGCGUGCUUAACACAUGCAAGUCGAACGGAAAGGCCCUGCUGUUUGGGGGUGCUCGAGUGGCGAACGGGUGAGUAACAAGUGAGUAACCAGCCCGUGACUUUGGGAUAACUUCAGGAAACUGGGGCUAAUACCGGAUAGGAGCUCCUGCUGCAUGGUGUGGGUUGGAAAGGUUCGGCGGUUGGGGAUGGACUCGCGGCUUAUCAGCUUGUUGGUGGGGUAGUGUCUUACCAAGGCUUUGACGGGGAGCCGGCCUGAGAGGGUGACCGGCCACAUUGGGACAGAGAUACGGCCCAGACUCCUACGGGAGGCAGCAGUGGGGGAUAUUGCACACUGGGCGGAAGCCUGAUGCAGCAACGCCGCGUGCGGGAUGACGGCCUUCGGGUUGUAAACCGCUUUCGCCUGUGACGAAGCGUGAGUGACGGUAAUGGGUAAAGAAGCACCGGCUAACUACGUG
rnacentral:rRNA from 1 species